CUGGAGUUGUGACGUGAAGGGCACUAGGACCCAGAAAAUAGCCUCACACUAGGUGUGUGGUUUGUUACUGAUGGGGGACGCUAUUUAGUGAUCCAAUCUGCAGCCGUGCUCACUUUAAACGCCGCUGUCGUCCGGCUUGUCAGGCCAAUCAAGCACACUUGUGGAGCUCCCUCGAGAUUCUGGCCGUGCGUUGAAACGUCUGGUUCAAAACGUGAGGUGUGAUAAACUUGCCAGCAAUCCAAAAUCCUGUUUAGCCUGCAUAGCAUUUUAAAGAUUAUUUUGCCUCAGGUGUGUCUGCGCUGUUGCAAGCCCCCACCCGUCAGACAGGGUGGCGCGUGGAACGCGGAAGUGAAUCAGGAAUGCUGGAGGACCAGUGUAAACGAUGGCUCCAUGAAAACAGGGAAGCAACAGAGGAUGAGGAGGAUGAGCUAUAAAUUGGAGGAAAAAACCAUCAACUUUGCUUUCUCUGUUGGGAGUGAAGCUGACAGCAGAUUCAUCCUCUUGUCUACAGCCAAACGAUUCCAGACGCACACGAAGGCAUGGAUCAUAGACGCGGAGACCAUGAGUCCACCGAGGAACUCCUCAAGUCAGAGACUUUACCACCGAGCUACAGGAAGGAGCGCUUUCGCAGACCUUACUUCUCAUCUGCUAUUAGACUCUGCAACGCCGAAUACACACUGAACAAGAAUUUUUGCUAUGGUUAAUUGUUUUUAAAGUCUAUGCUUGGUGUUAUUUAUUAUAUAGCAACUGUUUUUAAUAGACCCUCAAGGUCAUUUCUCAUUCAGUGAAGUUGUAUUCCAUCUAUUCUAUGUAGGACGCUUGCCUUUGAAGCCUGGAGUUUGACACAUGUGCUUUAAGUAUUGCUUUAUUUAAAACUUGCAAAAAAAUAAUAAUAAUAAUUGUCAAAAUGUACAUUUUGUCUUGUAUUUGUUUAACCAAUAAAAUUAAAAGUUUCAUUACCUGCGGUAAUGCUCGUGUGAAUGCUUUCUGCUGAAAGUAUUAACUGAAGAUGCAGAAUGUUUUUGUUGUUGUUACUUUAAUUGCUGAAGGGA